UUCAGACCAUUUGACUACCGGUGAACUGGGCCAACUGGCUGAUAGAUCAUUAUCUCUUGAUGAAAAUUGUUAUUCUGUGGCAAGUAAUGACAGAGAAACAAAGGAAAAUGAUGAAUUGGAUGAAUUUAGUAUCUUGACAGAUUUAUCCUGUGUUAUAUGUUUGACGAACUUUUCAUCAACAAGAGGAGUUUUACCUUGUGGGCAUCGCUUCUGCUAUUUGUGCAUUGAAUCCUGGGCUGAUCACAUGGUAACUUCUUUUAUUAUUUACUUUUCUUCUUAUCUUGGCAAUUAUUAUCUGGCAUGAUGGUUGCCGUUGUGAGAAAUUAUAUUUUACCGAGAGUGUUGGAUGACUUUUUUUUAAAG
rnacentral:lncRNA from 1 species